AUUGAACGCUGGCGGCAGGCCUAACACAUGCAAGUCGAGCGAGUGGCGGACGGGUGAGUAAUGUCUGGGGAACUGCCUGAUGGAGGGGGAUAACUACUGGAAACGGUAGCUAAUACCGCAUACCAUCGGAUGUGCCCAGAUGGGAUUAGCUAGUUGGUGGGGUAACGGCUCACCAAGGCGACGAUCCCUAGCUGGUCUGAGAGGAUGACCAGCCACACUGGAACUGAGACACGGCCCAGACUCCUACGGGAGGCAGCAGUGGGGAAUAUUGCACAAUGGGCGCAAGCCUGAUGCAGCCAUGCCGCGUGUAUGAAGAAGGCCUUCGGGUUGUAAAGUACUUUCAGCGGGGAGGCGUUACCCGCAGAAGAAGCACCGGCUAACUCCGUGCCAGCAGCCGCGGUAAUAC
rnacentral:rRNA from 1 species